UACGGAGGGUGCAAGCGUUGUCCGGAUUUAUUGGGUUUAAAGGGUGCGUAGGCGGCCCGUUAAGUCAGCGGUGAAAUCCCACGGCUCAACCGUGGAACUGCCGUUGAUACUGGCGGGCUUGAGUUCGGUGAAGGCGGGCGGAACUGGCGGUGUAGCGGUGAAAUGCUUAGAUACCGCCAAGAACCCCGAUUGCGUAGGCAGCUCGCUGUGCCGAAACUGACGCUGAGGCACGAAAGCGUGGGGAGCGAACAGG
rnacentral:ncRNA from 2 species